CCCUUAUUUGACGAGAAUGAACAAAAUAAAAACAAUCCAACGACUGCCAUGCAAUUUAAUUUUACAAUACAUAAAAUAACCUUUUAUUUUUGGUUGUCUGUAAGAAAAAUACAUAAUAAUUUAUUUUUAUUUUCGGUUGUGUGUAAAAAAAAAAACAUAAUAAAUAAAAACCAUGUCGUAUGUAUUAAUUUUCACAUGGAACAAAACUGGUUCGCUAAAACUGUGAAUCUCAAUAAUAUCUUUU
rnacentral:lncRNA from 1 species